GCUGGGCAACUUCAUCAGAAUGAAGGAUUCCUACUCAACAAGAGCAGGAGAGAGGAGCAGACUGCAGAGACUCUAGGAAGUCUCUGGAAGGUGAGGAAAAUGCUCUGUGUCUUGACUGUGGUGAUGGAUUCGUGGGUGUGUAUAACUUCCAGGACUGUUUGAAUUAUAUGCUUUAUUUUCUUCUUUGGAGGCAGCGUCUUGCUCUGUCGCCCAGGCUGGAGUGCAAUGGCACAAUCACGGCUCACUGUAGCUUCAACCUCCAGGGCUCAGGUGAUCCUCCCACCUCCACCUAAGUAGCUGGGACUGCAGGUGCGUGCCACUGUACCCGGCUAAUUUUUGUAGAGAUGGGGUCUCGCUAUGUUGCCCAGGCUGGUCUUGAACUCCUGGGCUCAAACGAUACACCCAUCUUGGCCUCGCAAAGUGCUGGGAUUAUAGAUGUGAGCCAGCGCAUCCAGCCUGAAAUUGUAUACUGUAAAUGGAUGCAUUUAUUGUACAUAAGUUUAACACAAUAAAACUGAUAUAAAAAUUAAUAGCAGCUAGGCCCGGUGGGAUAUCUCAAAGUGGGGUGGGGAGUGUGUUCCAGGUGUAUUCAGAUUCUCUUUAACUUGUAAUUGGUUAAAGGAGUCAGGCUCUAAAACUCGGAACCACCAAAAAGGAAGGUGUAAGGUCACGUAAGGACGCUGUGUCAGAGUCCGCCCCCUCCACUGGGUCACAGUGACCCAUGUAGCAGGAGGGCGAGAAGCAGGCGUGACCUAACCUCUGCCCGGCAGGGCCUUAGGCCUCCUUUAUAAUUUGGUAUCUUAUUGCCAGAGUCUCUUUGUCAGUCUUGCGAUCUGUACUUUAACAUGAAUGCCGGGUGGUCGUUAAGCCUCAACUCCAGAAGGGAGGGGUACAAGGAGGCUGCCCGACUCCCUUCCCAUCAUGCUUGGGAACUCUGUUUUAAGGUUUUCUUUGGGGUCCCCUUGGCCAAAUGGGGGUCCUUUCAGUUGGUGUGGGACUUAGGAUUUUAUUUUUAGUUAUUCAAUGAAAUAUCAUUCAGCCCUAAAAGGGAGUAACAUUCUGACACGUGCUACAAUGUGGAUGAACCC
rnacentral:lncRNA from 1 species